rnacentral:rRNA from 1 species
AGCAGCCGCGGUAAUUCCAGCUCCAAUAGCGUAUAUUAAAGUUGUUGCAGUUAAAAAGCUCGUAGUUGAAUUUCGGGAUUUAUCCGUUGGUCGGGCUUUUUGGUCUGUACUGACGUGAUGGAUUCCUACCUUCUGAAUAACCGGCAUGCCAUUAAUUUGGUGCGCCGGGGAAGCAGGGCUGUUACCUUGAAAAAAUUAGAGUGCUUAAAGCAGGCUUAUGCCUGAAUACAUUAGCAUGGAAUAAUGAAAUAGGACGGCAUGGUUCUAUUUUGUUGGUUUCUAGGAUCGACGUAAUGAUUAAUAGGGAUAGUUGGGGGCAUUAGUAUUCAAUUGUCAGAGGUGAAAUUCUUGGAUUUAUUGAAGACUAACUACUGCGAAAGCAUUUGCCAAGGAUGUUUUCAUUAAUCAAGAACGAAAGUUAGGGGACCGAAGACGAUCAGAUACCGUCGUAGUCUUAACCAUAAACUAUGCCGACUAGGAAUCAGACGAUGUUAAUUUUUUAAUGACUCGUUUGGCACCU